GGGAGAGUGAUUGACUCGUUUCGAAGCUCAUUGUCUCCUAGGAUGGUUGAGGCUUUGAUUUGCUCUCAAAAUUGGAUAAGGUCCGAAGAUAUAUCUUCAUUGCAAUAUGUGCCAAGCAUUGAAGAGAUGGAGUUCUAUGAAUCAAUUGAAAUGGAAAUGGGGAGUAAAACAUCCACUACAAAUUUGAAUAAGACUCUCCCUUCUUAGUGUGAUGAAGAUAUGUUGGAAGGUUGCUUUGUUAAGGUUUUGGAAGAAUGGAUGAAGCAGAUUUUUUGCAAGGAUGUUAUCUUUAUGUGUAUUUUUGUGAUGGGUUGUAAUCUUUAAUUUCAUAAGUUUAAUUUGGAUUGCUUGCUUUAUUUGUGUAUUAUUUUUUUGUCAUGUUUUGUAAGAAAUUAUAUUUCCUUUCCUUGCUUGGUUGGUUGAAUGUGUGAAUGUGAGAUUCAUUUAGUUGUUUAGAAACUUAGAUUGGAAUGAUGGAUUUUUAUAGGUUGAAUUUGCAUAAUUUCAGGUUUUGAAAGAAAAGUAAAAAGUGAUUUGGGCUUGU